rnacentral:lncRNA from 1 species
GAGGGGAGGCUACCAAGUAGUGGGAGGUGGCAAUUCAGCUCGCUAUUCACAAGCCAGCUCGUGUUCGACUCUAAAUGAGCUCGAGAUCGAAUCGCUCGUUCAAUAAAUUAACGAGCAGAAUACGAGCUGGGAUCAGCUCGCUUAUGUUCGGCUCAAUAACGGCUCGAAUACAUAUAUAUUUUAUAUUUAUAUAAUAUAUACUUUUAUUAUUUUAUUUUUAGCAAAAUAAAAAUAUAAAGCCGAGCUCAAUUAUAAAAAGACUUAUUUAUAUGUAAAGUUUCAAUCUUUUGAUUAAAAUCUAAUAGGUAAGAUUUUAUAAAUUUAAUUUUUUAUAUAUAUUCAAAAUCCUUUUAACUUAUUAUUCGUUGACCGGCGCUCGUAUUCGGCUAGUUUAUUAACGAGCCGAAUACAAACUGAAUUUUUCAACUCGAUACAUUAAGCACCCGUUUGGUUCAGGGUUAAGGGGUGGAAUAACCUCUUAACCCCGAAGUUAUUCCUAAACACCUAAUUGGGAGGGUGGGGUUAGCUAAUCCCACCUCACCCCACUACUCCAAUCAAACAAAACACUUUUUUACCCCCUAUCUUUCUUAUUUCACUUACUCCAAUCAAACACUAUUUUACGUAAUUCUGUACUAACUCCAAUUCUCAAUCAAACAUAAAAUUAUUCUAAUCCCACCUUAACUCUGAACUUAACCCUAUCCUUAAAAUAACUAGCUUUUUUUUAAUCCCGAACCAAACGAUAGCUAAAGAACCAGCUCGUGUUCAAUAAACGAGCCGAACACUAGCCUCGACAACCCUA